rnacentral:rRNA from 1 species
UACGUAGGGGGCAAGCGUUGUCCGGAAUCAUUGGGCGUAAAGCGCGUGUAGGCGGCUUGGUAAGUCUGCUCUGAAAGCCCGGGGCUCAACCCCGGGAGGCGGGUGGAUACUGCUGAGCUCGAGUCCGGAAGAGGCGAGUGGAAUUCCUGGUGUAGCGGUGAAAUGCGUAGAGAUCGGGAAGAACAUCGGUGGCGAAAGCGCUCUGCUGGACUGCAACUGACACUCAGGGACGAAAGCUAGGGGAGCGAAUGGG